GACGAACCGUGCGAACGUUAUUCGGAAUCAUUGGGCUUAAAGAGCGCGUAGGCGGCGACGUAAGUUGGAAGUGAAAUCCCAUCGGCUCAACCGUGGAAUCGCUCCCAGUACUGCGUUGCUCGAGGGAGAUAGGGGCCUGUGGAACUGCCGGUGGAGCGGUGAAAUGUGUUGAUAUCGGCGGGAACGCCAGUGGCGAAAGCGACAGGCUGGACCUUUUCUGACGCUGAGACGCGAAGGCGUGGGGAGCGAACGGG
rnacentral:rRNA from 1 species